rnacentral:rRNA from 1 species
AGUGAACGCUGGCGGUAGGCCUAACACAUGCAAGUCGAACGGCAGCACAGUAAGAGCUUGCUCUUACGGGUGGCGAGUGGCGGACGAGUGAGGAAUACAUCGGAAUCUACUUUUUCGUGGGGGAUAACGUAGGGAAACUUACGCUAAUACCGCAUACGACCUACGGGUGAAAGCAGGGGAUCUUCGGACCUUGCGCGAUUGAAUGAGCCGAUGUCGGAUUAGCUAGUUGGCGGGGUAAAGGCCCACCAAGGCGACGAUCCGUAGCUGGUCUGAGAGGAUGAUCAGCCACACUGGAACUGAGACACGGUCCAGACUCCUACGGGAGGCAGCAGUGGGGAAUAUUGGACAAUGGGCGAAAGCCUGAUCCAGCCAUACCGCGUGGGUGAAGAAGGCCUUCGGGUUGUAAGGCCCUUUUGUUGGGAAAGAAAAGCAGCAGGUUAAUACCCCGCUGUUCUGACGGUACCCAAAGAAUAAGCACCGGCUAACUUCGUG